UACGUAGGGUGCGAGCGUUUGUCCGGAAUUACUGGGCGUAAAGAGCUUGUAGGUGGUUUGUCGCGUUGUUCGUGAAAUCUCACGGCUCAACUGUGAGCGUGCGGGCGAUACGGGCAGACUAGAGUACUGCAGGGGAGACUGGAAUUCCUGGUGUAGCGGUGGAAUGCGCAGAUAUCAGGAGGAACACCGGUGGCGAAGGCGGGUCUCUGGGCAGUAACUGACGCUGAGAAGCGAAAGCGUGGGGGAGCGAACAGG
rnacentral:rRNA from 1 species